rnacentral:tRNA from 2 species
CAGCUCAAUAGUUUAUUUAGAAUAUUAGCUUUGGGGGCUAAAGGUCUUAGGAUGUUGAAGUUGGCUGA